rnacentral:tRNA from 1 species
UAAGCUCUUCGCUAACC